rnacentral:rRNA from 1 species
UACGUAGGGCGCAAGCGUUGUCCGGAAUUAUUGGGCGUAAAGAGCUCGUAGGCGGUUUGUCGCGUCUGCUGUGAAAAUCCGGGGCUCAACCCCGGACUUGCAGUGGGUACGGGCAGACUAGAGUGUGGUAGGGGAGACUGGAAUUCCUGGUGUAGCGGUGAAAUGCGCAGAUAUCAGGAGGAACACCGGUGGCGAAGGCGGGUCUCUGGGCCGAUACUGACGCUGAGGAGCGAAAGCGUGGGGAGCAAACAGG